UAAGACCGUUUAUGUUGGGCAAGCCAUAUAAGGUCUCUCAUGUCUUGAUAAUUUUGAUUGCCGACAUAAGAACAAAAGAAAUAACAGUAAAAGGUAUUUUUCGAAUAAAAAAAAAGAAUUAUUCAAAUGGGACACGUGGAUUAACGAUUUGAAACAAGCACACAACUCUUCUUAUUUUAUUGGUAUCUAGAUUAACACGCAUUAAAAUGUUUUCGUAAGUAUAAAAUUAUUGUAGAAGUUAAGUAGGUCGUAGGUAUAAGAUAUAUUGUGUAUGAUGUUGAUUAAUUUUAUGGAUCGAGGAAAAAUAUGCGAUGUAAUUUAUUAUAAUGUAAAUAAUAAAAUAAUUUUAUGUAUCAUCUGAUCAUGACAGUCAAUUGUUUGUGUCUGUUUGUAAAGAUUAUACGUUUUUUUACAAAAUAAAUAUUAUAAAAAAUGAACA
rnacentral:misc_RNA from 1 species